AAGGGCCUACGGGACGCAGCAGUGAGGAAUAUUGGUCAAUGGUCGGGAGACUGAACCAGCCAAGCCGCGUGAGGGAUGCAGGUACAGAGUAUCGUAAACCUCUUUUGUCAGGGAACAAAGGCGGGGACGUGUCCCCGGAUGAGUGUACCUGAAGAAAAAGCAUCGGCCAACUCCGUGCCAGCAGCCGCGGUAAUACGGAGGAUGCGAGCGGUAUCCGGAGUUAUUGGGUUUAAAGGGGGCGCCGGCGGGCUGUUUAGUCAGCGGUCAAAGCCCG
rnacentral:rRNA from 1 species